AGAGGAUGGGGUGGAUUUUACACAGGUAACUACAACAGAAAGGCCAGCCUGAAGUCCAGCCACAGCAUAUGAACAAAGAAAGCAAAGUGACCUCAAAAUUCUUCAAUGCAUUACUUGUGGCAAACCAAUGCAUGGGCUGCACUACUUUGGAUUGCAAGUGGGGAGUGUCCCUGGCCGAAUCCUUCCACCAUAUAAAGAACUCUUUCAAUAUAAAUGGCAGAAUGGAUCUUUAUAGCACACCUUUGUUUGAUAUAUCGUUUUCUGGAGUAAUUUUUUUCCCCUCAUAUGGAAGGACAUACAAUCAUGUGAGCCCUGCACCUGCAGUUGUAAAUGGUAUAUCCCAGAUGCAGGAUUACCACCAGAGAGAAGUUUAUAUGAACAACACAAAGAACCCGAAAUAACCAAUCGAAAUAUAGGAGUGCUGGUGGGCAACAAAAGGAAAAAAAAAUCAGCAAAGCCAACACAUCUGCUCCCAGUAUCUGCCAAAUAGUUAGGCAAUUCUUGUAGAAUAACUUCACUUACCUACUGAUGCAUCUGGGUUCCCAUAAUUAUUAUCCAGGGACACAGACAGAAAGACAUAAACAAAGAGAGAGUCAGAACACAAUAUAAAUAAAUAGCAGUUCACUACCACAGCUAGUUUGCCCAAUGUAAACUCAUUUUAAGUUUACUAAUGCUUUGAAAUCGUCACUCACAUUUGUUAGGUGACAUUUUACAAUUCAUUAUUGUAUGCAUCAAGGGAUAAAAAUGUUUAUGGAGCAGGAAUGUAUGUAUGUUUUUUUAGAAAAAAAUACUGAUAUGUGGUGGCAAGCAACAAAAUAAACUCAUAUCUAGAUACAUAUUGGGGUUCGGAGGCAUAAACUUUUGCAGCCAUUCCCGUAUUACCCUUUGUACAUGUACAGAUGUACAUCCCUUUAUACAUGGCAAUGUGUGUGUGUGUGUGUGUGUGUGUGUGUAUGAAAAGUGAACACUGAAAAUUGGUUUUAAAGCCAUGAUUUAGUGAUUUACAGCAUCGACAAUUCAAUUUCUUGCUAAAGGCAGACUUGAAUAUAGGAGGUGGAGAAC